rnacentral:tRNA from 2 species
GAGAAAGUAUGCAAGAACUGCUAACUCCUGCCUCCAGGCUUAAUAUCCUGGCCUUCUCA